UGCCAGCAGCCGCGGUAAUACGUAGGGUGCAAGCGUUGUCCGGAAUUAUUGGGCGUAAAGAGCUCGUAGGCGGUUUGUCACGUCUGCUGUGAAAUUUCGAGGCUCAACCUCGAACUUGCAGUGGGUACGGGCAGGCUAGAGUGCGGUAGGGGAGAUGGGAAUUCCUGGUGUAGCGGUGGAAUGCGCAGAUAUCAGGAGGAACACCAAUGGCGAAGGCACAUCUCUGGGCCGUAACUGACGCUGAGGAGCGAAAGCGUGGGGAGCGAACAGGAUUAGAUACCCUGGUAGUCCACGCCGUAAACGGUGGGUGCUAGCUGUGGGCCACAUUCCACGUGGUCCGUGAUGAAGUUAACACAUUAAGCACCCCGCCUGGGGAGUACGGCCGCAAGGCUAAAACUCAAAGGAAUUGACGGGGGCCCGCACAAGCGGCGGAGCAUGCGGAUUAAUUCGAUGCAACGCGCAGAACCUUACC
rnacentral:rRNA from 1 species